ensembl:lncRNA
UGAAGUGAAGCACGGAGCUCCUUUUCUACACGGACCUGCUGAGGACAGAAGAGAGCUGCUCACUGAGGAAGUUCAUGUCUACAAGCUCACAGGUUGGUGUGGAGGUGUGGACUCUGCUAUGAAUCAGGCUGAGGACCCAGAGGAGGGAGUCCCUCCCUCUGAAGCUCCUCUGUGUGGGGAACAUGACAGCCAGACCAAAGCUCAGAGGACCCAACAUGGACCUGGACCUGGACCAGGACCCAGCUGUGUGUCCAUGAAGAGUAACCGGUCUAUGAAUAAUCCUCUAAACUUCAAAGAUGUUGGUCCCUCUGUUGAUGCAAGUUCACAUCAGCGGAGAGGAAAGUCUCCGGAACCCAGAUGUUUGUCCAUGAAGAGUGAUCAGUCUAUUGAUCGAUAUAUUGACUUCAAAGAUGGACGCCGUUCUAAUGACCCAGAGUAAGUUCUUAAACAGAUGAAGAACUGUUCUGAUCCUCAGUUAUGAAUUACAGAAAUGUUUGUUCAUUGUUUAAAGUGUUGUUUCCAUGAUGAUCCAUCAUGACAGAACUCAUUAUCUUCAUCUAACUGGUCUGUGUGUGUUUAAGUGUGAAUCAUUAAGCGUAAACAUCCUCAGAUGUAAACACAAUGUGAGCUAGUUCCUCCACAUCAGGAUCAGCAGAGGUCACAUCUGGAGACAGCUGCAGGUUUCUGAAGACAGAUGACUGGGACUGAACAUGUGAUUAGAAUAAACUCAGUGCUCUGUGGACCAGCUGACGUGGUCUCUGGACUCCAUGCAGAGGUUAGGAGAAAGUAUCGUCAGUAGACUCUGUGAAAAGGUCCAAAGACUAGUUUCAGAAGAUCUAAGGAGACUUCUAGAGGUCAGGAGUAGUUCCAUAGGACUUUGUACCCAGUGUUGGGCAAGUUACUGAAAAUCAGUAAUUUGUUACAGUUACUAGUUACUUCUUUUAAGGGUAGGCAUCAGGCCUAAGUGAUUGACCUACAGUAUUAACGCUAUCUAAAAGAGAAAACAAAGGUGCUUUGAGGUGCUGCAUAUAUGAUUGAAUAUGUGACGGAGGUUGUCGUGGCGCAGGAGGUAGAGCGGGUGCGCUGGGAAGCGCAAGGUUGGUGGUUCGACUACUGGCUGCACCGUGUCUCAAGUGUCCCUGAGCAAGACACCUAAUCCCUAAUUGCUCCCCGGGUAAAAUCCAUGGGUUUGGAUAAAAGCGUCUGCCAAAUGACCUGUAAUGUAAUUUUACAAAAGGUUUACAAAAUAGUUUAACAAACAUGCCUCAUAAGGCAAAGCUAAAUAGAGAUGAGUUGCAACAAACGUUAAAAUGGGCUAACAAAUCUCACCUCUGAGCAACGGCGUAAACAUAGUGUAGACAUUGGGGGGACCAGAUGAAUACCAUUCCCCCUAUUAUUUUUUUAGUUAAGUGCAUGACCUAAACAUCUAUAUCUAUAUACGAAAAUUUGCACAUUUAAAACAUAGUUUCGAGGACUACAUUGACCAUUUAAAUUCACAUCUAAAGGAAUAGUGUAAUUUCUCUGUAACAGAGUUGCUUACUAUUUUUCAGUACUACUGUAGCAAACAGGAUAGCUUCCAAUGGAAAAGGGAAGACCACUUACUUAGCUACAUACUUAAAAUGACUGUAAAUGUGCAAUACUGAAUUGCAUUAAUUUCACAUUAAUUUCUCAUCUGAUCAUCUGUGUGUCCAGAGCUUGUCUCUGUCAGGCCACUGCUUUUAUCUUCCUGUCUUUCUGUGUGAUGCCUGCAUGGUGACCACAUGUCAUUUUAUCAGAAAAACAGCGACUUGUGCUUUUAUAAGGAGUGAUGUCACGAGAGGCGCCGCCGCUCUCUCCGGGGUAGUUCAAAUAGUGCGAGGACAUCGGGUUCAAAAUGUAAACAAAGGUUUUAAUUUACGUCCUUCAGAUUAAACAGAAAACAAUCAAAACAGGGGGUAACUCAGGCUUCGGUCGAUCUUCGCCGGUAAAACUAAUGUCUUGUCUUUGGAGGGGAGGAGAAAACACCGUCCUCUCGGUCUCUCCUGCCUCCCGGAAUCCUUCUGUCUUGGUCUACUCUUCUGCAGCGGGCCCAAUCUGCAGCUCGUCUCUCCUCCUCUCAACGGUGUGUCUUCCGCCCUUAUGAAGGCCUCCCGGUCGUCAUACCCGACCAAACAGAAACUCAGAGCAUUCCCCUCAACACAUGAGGGGAAUGCUCUGAGUUUCUGGGUGGAGUUCCUAACUCCACCAGCAGAUGGAGCCAUAGUAGCCAUAGUAGCCCUCUCCGGUGAACGUAUCUCCCUUCCAAGACCCAGCCUCUCGUGACAUCACAGAGGCUACUCGUUUUAUUUGCUUACACAUUUAGCUCAGUAUCAAGUUACUUACUGUCUGAAAAAAAACGUGUAUGCUCGGCUGCUGGCACAAUUUUCUCCGCUUUUUAGUGUAACCUAAAAUCCUCCAUUACUCCACCUUAGUGUGUCAAACUCAUUUCAGGUUCGCGCCCGGUACUGCCCACUUUGACCGAACACGGGCCAAACCAUUAAAAUGAUAGGGAAGGGUGGAGGUGGCGAUCCGACCGACCAGCGGUACGAUCAAUAUAUGUACAUAGAUAUAGUUUACAUAUUCUCUGCUGUAUAUUGGGGGGGGGGGCAGAUUGGUACCUUUUCAAUAGGUUACGCCUAUGCCUCUGACCAUUAGCUACAACGUUGCUCGCUCUCAAACCAGUUAUUGUCCCUCAAGAGGAGAAGCUUCUCAAACUUAUGAUCUGAUUCUGUGGCACCCUGGACAUUUUUAAGGACUUCCAUUGUUUCUUUGAAUUGUAUUGUUUAGUGCCAUUCCCCUGUCAUUGUCUUUGUUUUGAUUAUUGUGUAAAGCAGAGGUCUUCAACGUUUUUCAAGCCAAGGUCCCCCAAACUGAUGGCGAGGUGGAGCAGGGACCCCCUAUUCUACGGAGUUCGGAGUUUGGUCCGCCAUCUUUUAUUUUCAAGCUUCACGCUCUUUAGACGUGAGCAUGAACGCAAUCUGAUUGGCUGGUGCCUGCGCUGUCGUAUUCGCAUGAAAGGAGCAGUGAGUGAACCGGUGCCCAGCUUGAGAGCUGCUGAGGGAAGCUGAAUAUGUGUGUUGUGCACUGACAUAUAGUCUUCUCCAUCAAUUUAUCCGAUCGCUUCAAUAUGUUGGAUUCAUGUUAAUGUGUAUUUAAAGACCAUGAAUACAAUUCUGAUUCUGAUUCUGAAGACAUUUACAUUUGUGGGGGGAAAAAUUGUUUUAAAAAACUGUCUUAUCAACCAAAAAAUUUCGCGACCCCCCUGCAGUACCUUCGCGGACCCCUUGGGCGUCGCGGACCCCCUGUUGAAGACCUCUAGUGUAAAGAAACCCUUGGUGUGACAUUUUGAGCCUGCCUCCUUCCCCCUGCAGUGGCAGUGGCACUAGUUUCCACCAGCAGGUGGCAGUAGCGGGUUAGUAGGCCUGACGGGCGCGUCGGGAAGUACGGAGAGUCGUUCUGAUUCUGAUUGUUGCUGACUGUUAUCAUUGCAGCUGAGCAAAUGUAUAUGUAUGCCUGUAUGUAUUUCGUAGAUGGCCGGCGCUGUGUUGUUGGGGUUUCCCCUGGGUGCUCAUCCUGCUCUGGGACUCUGCCUUCUGCCACUAGACUUGCUUUUACCAGCUCCUUCCUCUCCUGGUCACGCAGCCAACCUAACUUGAACUCGGGUAGGGUUGCAGCAGCCAGUAGAGCAUCAUAAUCCUAAAGAACACGUGCAAAUCUUGUUUUGAUUGCAUGUCCCUAGUCGAAGUGUCCCUCAGCAAGAUGCCUAACUCCUAAUUGCUCCCUGGGCAAAAUGUAAAAAGCCGUAGGUUAAUAAUGUAAUGUAAGUCGCUUUGGAUAAAAGCGUCAACUAAAAUGACCUGUAAUAUAAUGUCAUGUAAAUACAUGACACAAAAGACAUAACAAGAGUAUUAAAACAAGUCUUACAAACAAAUUAAUUAUACAAUAUGCAUAUUUGGCAUAUAGCAUAAAUCUCACUACAGAGCAGUCACUACUAACUUGACCUGCACUAAUAAAUACUUCACGUUAUCUAGACACAAAUAAAUUUAACUGAGCUAUUGAUUGGAUAAAUAUAAAUGAAAAAUAAAACCGCAUCUCCUACCAGAACAAUUGCCUCUGGUAGGCCAUCAAGGAUUGCAAAGUGUUUUUUAAUUUUUAAAAUUCCUUUUAAUUCCUUCUUAAUUCUCAGACAUCGAUGUCUCCAGAGGGGGCAAGAGUGUUGCUACCGCAUCAUAGAACAUACUCCACCUGGUGGUGUAAGGUAUAAGCGGCUUCUUAGCAAUAACGUUGUUGACAAUCUCCGAAACCACCGUUGACCUACUUGCCUUGUACCACAGCCCUGCGCAUUUUGUGGUAGCAUUUCUGUAGAUAGAUUUUGUUUCCGGCUUUGACAUUAGCCACUUAUCGACAUCAGUGCAUGAGAUGAGGUUCAACGUGUGCGAUGCGCAUCUGUGAUGCACCAGGUGAAACCACGUCAUUGACAUCAACUACAUUAUCUAGCACAUCCCCAAUGUUUGUAAAAGUCGCCUCAUCCUCCAAAUGAUCUUCAGUAGCUGACUGGUACAUUUUUUAAACACCUUGACCAAAUUGGAGCCAUUGUCAGUAACAGUUGCUGUCACUUUGAAAGCUGGGCGAUAGGAUUAGUGGAUGUUGUCUAUUUCGGUUGCAAUAAUGUCAUAUGUAUGUUGGCCCUUGAAGUUUUACUUUGUUACUCGUUACUACAACACUGGUUGUAUCAGAUGCAGAGGUCUGCAGACGUUGUUUUUAUGACCCACAUUAAGAACUAAAACCAGAUGAAACUGAUGACUAACUGUCACUCAACUAAUAAACUGUCCGUCCGUCAUCGACAGUCUUCAGCAUCUGGUUUUCAUCAUGAUCAAUCAUGACAGAA